AUCCUUUUGUAGUUCAUAAGCAUGAUGAUUGAGUGUUCAUGCUGUUGUGUGAGAUGUGGCUCCCUCAAACCUUGUUACAUCGGCACAUCACCCAUUUGACG
ensembl:snoRNA